rnacentral:rRNA from 1 species
CAGCAGCCACGGUAAUACGUAGGGUGCGAGCGUUAAUCGGAAUUACUGGGCGUAAAGCGUGCGCAGGCGGUUGUGUAAGACAGGUGUGAAAUCCCCGGGCUUAACCUGGGAACUGCGCUUGUGACUGCACAGCUAGAGUAUGGCAGAGGGGGUUGGAAUUCCACGUGUAGCAGUGAAAUGCGUAGAGAUGUGGAGGAACACCGAUGGCGAAGGCAGCCCCCUGGGCCAAUACUGACGCUCAUGCACGAAAGCGUGGGGAGCAGACAGGAUUAGAUACCCCCGUAGUCCCUGUCUCUUAUAA